GUACCUGUAGCACAAUGGAUAGGUCGUUGGAGUUCUAAUCCAAAGGUUGUGGGUUCGAAUCCCACCUGGGACA